rnacentral:ribozyme from 13 species
AAGGAGAAGAGAAAGUAAAAGAAAAAGAAAAGGUGGAAUGGAAUGGAAUUCAAAAUGAUGAGUUUUGGUUCUCUAUUUUUCUCUUCUUUAUCACUCUUUUUUCAAAAAAAUUGAAGACAAGCAGAGAAGACUCUAACACUCCUUCUCUUGUUGCUUUGUAAAAGAACCAAAUCAUAUUAAAUCAUUGUUUUCGACUUUUCUUCCUUUUUUUUUU